UUGAUUUUGUGUUACUGGAUGGAGACUUGUACGUUUGCUGUUGGAAUGACCACUCUGAACAACAGGCAAAUUUAGCCUGCAAUACCUCGGCAAAGAGCACGGACAAGGGACGUGUAAUCAUCGCUGAUCUGAAGAACAAGUCCAGGUUUAUUGGUGGCUGGUUACUCUUUGGUAUCGUAUUUGUGGGAUCUUUGCCUCCAUUAUAUGCAUGGAGGAAAUGCUGCAAAACAUGUUGCUGCAACAGUCAUUUUACGUAUCACCAACUGAUAUUGGAGGAGGAAGAAAUCGUGCUGAAAGAGAUUAUGAGGGAAUCGGCAAAAGAAAAGUUGACUAGAGAAGUCAAGGAGAGAAUACGUAAUCAACAAUGGGAAGCGUGUUUUGAUGUGGCUGAUGAGCUGAUUAAUGCGUCUACUGAACCGAACAUUUCUGAUCUUGAGAAGCAACAAAAACAACAAGGGGCUCACGAAACCCAGGACCAGGACUAUGGACUAUGGAGGCUAGAGGAACCGAGGCGAGAAGUACCGAGGCAAGAAGUACCGAGUCAAGAGGAACUGAGGCAAGAAGUACUGAGGCAAGAAGUACUGAG